rnacentral:misc_RNA from 1 species
GUUCGAUCAUGGCUCAGAUUGAACACUGGCGGGAUGCUUUACACAUGCAAAUCAGACAGCAGCACGGACUUCGGUCUGGUGGCGAGUGGCGAACGGGUGAGUAAUGUAUCGGAACGUGCUAGUAGCGGGGGAUAACUACGCGAAAGCGUAGCUAAUACCGCAUACGCCCUUCGGGGAAAGCGGGGGACCUUCGGGCCUCGCACUAUUAGAGCAGCCGAUAUCGGAUUAGCUAA